AUUGAACGCUGGCGGCAUGCCUUACACAUGCAAGUCGAACGGCAGCACGGGAGCAAUCCUGGUGGCGAGUGGCGAACGGGUGAGUAAAGCAUCGGAACAUGCCCAGUCGUGGGGGAUAACGCAGCGAAAGCUGUGCUAAUACCGCAUACGAUCUAUGGAUGAAAGCGGGGGACCGUAAGGCCUCGCGCGAUUGGAGUGGCCGAUGUCAGAUUAGGUAGUUGGGGGGGUAAAGGCCCACCAAGCCGACGAUCUGUUGCUGGUCUGAGAGGACGACCAGCCACACUGGGCCGGAGACACGGCCCAGACUCCUACGGGAGGCAGCAGUGGGGAAUUUUGGGCAAUGGGAGCAAGCCUGAUCCAGCAAUGCCGCGUGCAGGAUGAAGGCCUUCGGGUUGUAAACUGCUUUUGCACGGAGCGAAAAGGCACUUCCUAAUACGGGGUGCUGAUGACGGUACCGUAAGAAUAAGCACCGGCUAACUACGUGCCAGCCGCCGCCGUAA
rnacentral:rRNA from 1 species